rnacentral:rRNA from 1 species
GACAGGGGAUGCAAGCGUUAUCCGGAAUGAUUGGGCGUAAUGCGUCUGUAGGUGGCUUUUCAAGUCCGCCAUCAAAUCCCAGGGCUCAACCCUGGACAGGCGGUGGAAACUACCAAGCUAGAGUACGGUAGGGGCAAAGGGAAUUUCCAGUGGAGCAGUGAAAUGCAUUGAGAUCGGAAAGAACAACCAACGGCGAAAUCACUCUACUGGGCCAACACUGACACUGGAGAGACGAAAGCUAGGGGAGCAAAUGUG